rnacentral:rRNA from 4 species
GUUAAGUCCCGCAACGAGCGCAACCCUUAUCCUUUGUUGCCAGCGAUUAGGUCGGGAACUCAAAGGAGACUGCCAGUGAUAAACUGGAGGAAGGUGGGGAUGACGUCAAGUCAUCAUGGCCCUUACGACCAGGGCUACACACGUGCUACAAUGGCGCAUACAAAGAGAAGCGACCUCGCGAGAGCAAGCGGACCUCAUAAAGUGCGUCGUAGUCCGGAUUGGAGUCUGCAACUCGACUCCAUGAAGUCGGAAUCGCUAGUAAUCGUGGAUCAGAAUGCCACGGUGAAUACGUUCCCGGGCCUUGUACACACCGCCCGUCACACCAUGGGAGUGGGUUGCAAAAGAAGUAGGUAGCUUAACCUUCGGGAGGGCGCUUACCACUUUGUGAUUCAUGACUGGGGUGAAGUCGUAACAAGGUAACCGUAGGGGAACCUGCGGUUGGA